rnacentral:rRNA from 1 species
UGGAUCCAGACUUUGAUUAUGGCUCAGGAUGAACGCUAGCUACAGGCUUAACACAUGCAAGUCGAGGGGAAACGAUAUUGGAAGCUUGCUUCCGAUAGGCGUCGACCGGCGCACGGGUGAGUAACGCGUAUCCAACCUGCCCACCACUUGGGAAUAACCUUGCGAAAGUAAGACUAAUACUCAAUGAUAUCUCUAGAAGACAUCUGAAGGAGAUUAAAGAUUUAUCGGUGAUGGAUGGGGAUGCGUCUGAUUAGCUUGUUGGCGGGGUAACGGCCCACCAAGGCGACGAUCUGUAGGGGUUCUGAGAGGAAGGUCCCCCACAUUGGAACUGAGACACGGUCCAAACUCCUACGGGAGGCAGCAGUGAGGAAUAUUGGUCAAUGGGCGAGAGCCUGAACCAGCCAAGUAGCGUGCAGGAUGACGGCCCUAUGGGUUGUAAACUGCUUUUAUAAGGGAAUAAAGUGAGCCUCGUGAGGCUUUUUGCAUGUACCUUAUGAAUAAGGACCGGCUAAUUCCGUGCCAGCAGCCGCGGUAAUACGGAAGGUCCGGGCGUUAUCCGGAUUUAUUGGGUUUAAAGGGAGCGUAGGCCGGAGAUUAAGCGUGUUGUGAAAUGUAGAUGCUCAACAUCUGCACUGCAGCGCGAACUGGUUUCCUUGAGUACGCACAAAGUGGGCGGAAUUCGUGGUGUAGCGGUGAAAUGCUUAGAUAUCACGAAGAACUCCGAUUGCGAAGGCAGCUCACUGGAGCGCAACCGACGCUGAAGCUCGAAAGUGCGGGUAUCGAACAGGAUUAGAUACCCUGGUAGUCCGCACGGUAAACGAUGGAUGCCCGCUGUUGGUCUGAAUAGGUCAGCGGC